rnacentral:rRNA from 1 species
AUUGAACGCUGGCGGAAUGCUUUACACAUGCAAGUUGAACGGCAGCACGGGGCAACCUGGUGGCGAGUGGCGAACGGGUGAGUAAUAUAUCGGAACGUGCCCAAUCGUGGGGGAUAACGUAGCGAAAGUUACGCUAAUACCGCAUACGAUCUACGGAUGAAAGCGGGGGAUCGCAAGACCUCGCGCGAAUGGAGCGGCCGAUAUCAGAUUAGGUAGUUGGUGGGGUAAAAGGCUCACCAAGCCAACGAUCUGUAGCUGGUCUGAGAGGACGACCAGCCACACUGGAACUGAGACACGGUCCAGACUCCUACGGGAGGCAGCAGUGGGGAAUUUUGGACAAUGGCGCAAGCCUGACU